rnacentral:rRNA from 1 species
GAAACGACUGCUAAGACUGGAUAGGAGAUAAGAAGGCAUCUUCUUAUUUUUAAAAGACCUAGUAAUAGGUAUGCUUAAGGAAGGGCUUGCGUCACAUUAGUUAGUUGGUAGGGUAAAGGCCUACCAAGACGAUGAUGUGUAGCCGGGCUGAGAGGCUGAACGGCCACAUUGGAACUGAGACACGGUCCAAACUCCUACGGGAGGCAGCAGUAGGGAAUUUUCGGCAAUGGAGGAAACUCUGACCGAGCAACGCCGCGUGAACGAUGAAGUAUUUCGGUACGUAAAGUUCUUUUAUUAAGGAAGAAAAGAUGGUGGAAAAACCAUUAUGACGGUACUUAAUGAAUAAGCCCCGGCUAACUAUGUGCCAGCAGCCGCGGUAAUACAUAGGGGGCGAGCGUUAUCCGGAAUUAUUGGGCGUAAAGGGUGCGUAGGCGGUUUAAUAAGUUUAUGGUCUAAGUGCAAUGCUUAACAUUGUGAUGCUAUAAAAACUGUUUGACUAGAGUUGGAUAGAGGCAAGUGGAAUUCCAUGUGUAGUGGUAAAAUGCGUAAAUAUAUGGAGGAACACCAUGAGCGAAGGCGGCUUGCUGGGUCUUAACUGACGCUGAGGCACGAAAGCGUGGGGAGCAAACAGGAUUAGAUACCCUGGUAGUCCACGCUGUAAACGAUGAGUACUAGAUGUUGGGUUAAACCAGUGUCGAAGUUAACACAUUAAGUACUCCGCCUGAGUAGUACGUACGCAAGUAUGAAACUUAAAGGAAUUGACGGGACUCCGCACAAGCGGUGGAUCAUGUUGUUUAAUUCGAAGAUACCCGAAAAACCUCACCAGGUCUUGACAUGCUUCUGCAAAGCUGUAGAAAUACAGUGGAGGUUAUCAGUUGUACAGGUGGUGCAUGGUUGUCGUCAGCUCGUGUCGUGAGAUGUUGGGUUAAGUCCCGCAACGAGCGCAACCCUUGUUGUUAAUUGCCAUCAUUAAGUUGGGGACUUUAGCAAGACUGCCAGUGAUAAAUUGGAGGAAGGUGGGGAUGACGUCAAAUCAUCAUGCCCCUUAUGACCUGGGCUACAAACGUGAUACAAUGGCUGUUACAAAGGGUAGCUGAAGCGCAAGUUUUUGGCAAAUCUCAAAAAAACAGUCUCAGUUCGGAUUGAAGUCUGCAACUCGACUUCAUGAAGUUGGAAUCGCUAGUAAUCGCGAAUCAGCAUGUCGCGGUGAAUACGUUCGCGGGGUUUGUACACACCGCCCGUCA